CGCCACCUACCUACCUUCUUCCUCGGGAUCCCUCCCGAUCUCUCUCCCAACCAACCGGCUGCCUCCACUCCCCAUCUCCUCCCGAUCCAAAUCCUCUCCGACCCCCUCCCUGUUUUUCAGCGCCGCCCAAAUCGCAGCAGCGAACCACCAUCCUCGCCCGUACCCAGCGCCUCCAAGGUACCAGCCUCCCGUCUUCGCCCCCGACCUCCUCUGCUUCUUGCCCAGGUGCCCGAAGCCUACCUCUUCUCCCCUCGAUCCCGAAUGAAUCGUGAAGCUGCUCGAGGCCCCGAGCAGGAGCGCUCGGCCUCGUCCCGUUGCGCCGUCGCAGCCGACGACCACCUCCAGUAGGCCCGUGCCGCGCCCCGUCUCCCUCGUUCUCUCUUCACUUCCUUUUCUUCUUUCUGCGAUUCAUCUCUCUGCUCUCUCUUCGCUAGGCAGGAACCCCAUCGAUGGUCGCGUCUUCGACGUGCGCGCCAUUGCCCGUUCGCCCCUGCCGGUAGCCGCGCUGUUCCCCUUCCUCGUCGCCCCUGCCAUGGACGCCAAGCUCCGCCGCCGCCGUCCUCGCCCGGAUCCCCGUCGCCCGCACCUGCCUCGUCGCUGCAUCUCCAGCCUCGCGCUUGGAGCCCCGCGCCUGCGCCCCGACUCUGCCCAUCAAAGCCACCAGGAUCCCGCUGCCGGAGUAGGCACCUCCUCGCCGCUCCAUGCGCUCCGGAGCACAUCCCCGACGCCGGUCCUCGUCAGCAGCACACCGGCGCCGCGCGCCCAUGCCUUCCUCCCCUUGCCGGAUCUGAACCCAGGCGCCUCCCCGCGCUCCGUUGCGCCCGUUCCGGCCGGUUCCUGCCGACCCCGCCGCCAGGGACCCCCUGUCGUCUUCUUCUCCAACACCAUGGUGAUAUUGUUUCUGUUCUUCAGGAACGAGAGCAGCAGCUUGGGAACGAGCCCGCCCGCGUUAACCGCGCCCCUGGCCAAAUCCAUCGGGGCCGCUCGGCCUCAAGCCAGUCGACCUGCUUCCCCUUCCACCUCACCGACCUGGGCCUCAGCCCGUGUUGUGAGGAUUCGUUCGACUACGUCUGUUUAUCUUCUUCAUGGACUCGUUCUUCUUCC